GUAGAUUGGCCAGAUACUGGUGUAUUGAAAUACUGGAAAUUUUCAAAGUGAGUUUCAUAUGCAGCACGGCCAGUUGACAACCUUUUGCCAAGCAGAGUACACAGCCUUAUGCAUAGAGAGCUGCCACAGGCAGACUUGGACAAGAUUGCCAGCAUUGUUUGCUGUUAGCUUCCUGACCCUCUAAAGUUACUUAACUUUGCUAAUCCAUGUUUGUAAGAUAUUUGUGCUGAUGGUUUGCUCUUGAAGGAUUGUUUUGGACUUUACUUGAAAUAACGAAGGAAAAUUAACUGAAUGGUACAUGGUUCUGAAGAGGUGCUCAGUAAUUCUGAGUGAGGAGAGAAGGGUAGUUCUUCGUAAUCCUGCCUUCCCAUUUUUGUCUAAAGAGAAAGAUGUGUGAGCUGGCUCCAGGUGCUUAGAAAGAUUAUCAUACCAAGAGUUAAUUCAGGUCAGACGGUCUGGAUCCAUACAAAACAAGAUACAAAUAGUCUUUUGAUGUCACCCCCAUUAUGCAGGGGAUCAGCGUGGUGUGCAGGCAGUCAUGGUGCUGGAGAAGCAGCUGAGAGUCGUCCAUCUUGGGAAGCUUGAGGAAAAGAGACCUCAGAGCCCACCUCCAUGCUUCCUUCAACAAGGCUAUACCUACUUCAACAAGUCCCCACUUCCUGAUGUCCCUAUGAACUUAUGGAGGCUAAUUACAUUCAAACUACUACACCAACUUUUAUGCAAUAUUAAAUGAAAGAA